AGCGAACGCUGGCGGCAGGCUUAACACAUGCAAGUCGAGCGCCCCGCAAGGGGAGCGGCAGACGGGAUAGUGACACGUGGGAACGUACCCUUCAGUUCGGAACAACCCAGGGAAACUUGGGCUAAUACCGAAUACGUCCGUAAGGAGAAAGAUUUAUCGCUGAAGGAUCGGCCCGCGUCUGAUUAGAUAGUUGGUGAGGUAACGAUCAGCCAAGGCGACGUUCAGUAGCUGGUCUGAGAGGAUGGUCAGCAGCACUGGGACUGAGUCACGUCCCAGACUCCUACGGGAAGCAGCAGUGGGGAAUAUUAGACAGUGGGCGCAAGCCUGACCCAGCCAUGCGGCGUGGAUGAUGAAGGCUUUAGGGUUGUAAAGUCCUUUUAACGGGGAAGUUAAUGGCGGUACCCGUAGAAUAAGCCCCGGCUAACUUCGUGCCAGCAGCCGCCGUAACAC
rnacentral:rRNA from 1 species